CCUACGGGAGGCAGCAGUGAGGAAUAUUGGUCAAUGGGCGUAAGCCUGAACCAGCCAAGUCGCGUGAGGGAUGAAGGUUCUAUGGAUCGUAAACCUCUUUUAUAAGGGAAUAAAGUGUGGGACGUGUCCUGUUUUGUAUGUACCUUAUGAAUAAGGAUCGGCUAACUCCGUGCCAGCAGCCGCGGUAAUACGGAGGAUGCGAGCGUUAUCCGGAUUUAUUGGGUUUAAAGGGUGCGCAGGCGGAUUUUUAAGUCAGCGGUCAAAUCGUGGGGCUCAACCCCAUCCAGCCGUUGAAACUGGGGAUCUAGAGUGUGCGAGAGGUAUGCGGAAUGCGUGGUGUAGCGGUGAAAUGCAUAGAUAUCACACAGAACACCGAUUGCGAAGGCAUCUCACGAAUCCGCGAUUGACGCUGAUGCACGAAAGCGUGGGUAUCAAACAGGAUUAGAUACCCCUGUAGUC
rnacentral:rRNA from 1 species